UACGCAGGGUGCGAGCGUUAAUCGGAAUUACUGGGCGUAAAGCGUGCGCAGGCGGUGAGCUGUGUCCGAUGUGAAAGCCCCGGGCUUAACCUGGGAAUGGCAUUGGAAACUGGCUCGCUGGAGUGUGGCAGAGGGGGGUGGAAUUCCGCGUGUAGCAGUGAAAUGCGUAGAGAUGCGGAGGAACACCGAUGGCGAAGGCAGCCCCCUGGGCUAGCACUGACGCUCAGGCACGAAAGCGUGGGGAGCAAACAGG
rnacentral:rRNA from 1 species